rnacentral:rRNA from 1 species
CACGUAGGGCGCAAGCGUUGUCCGGAAUUAUUGGGCGUAAAGAGCUCGUAGGCGGUCUGUUGCGUCUGCUGUGAAAACCCGGGGCUUAACCCCUGGCUUGCAGUGGAUACGGACAGACUAGAGGUAGGUAGGGGAGAAUGGAAUUCCCGGUGUAGCGGUGAAAUGCGCAGAUAUCGGGAGGAACACCGGUGGCGAAGGCGGUUCUCUGGGCCUUACCUGGCGCUGAGGAGCGAAAGCGUGGGGAGCGAACAGG